AGUUCACCUUCAAGCCCAGCGCAUCACAAGGGGAAAACACUCUGUGAGAAACGAUAUCCCAGCAAACGAGCCAAUGAGCCAGUGCUGAAGUGAUUCUGCAAAGUAAACAAAAGCCUAUAGAACCCAAUAUGGAAAUUUUCAACACAAAAGGGGGAUGUUUUGGAAAGUCACAGGCAUGUCAGAACAAAGUCCAGUGAACAUCUGAAAUGGAUUCUUCUGAAGGUUAGCCCCCAAAAUAAAGUUCAUUCAAACUGUGAGGAAGGAGAUACUGAGUCUGAUGGAGAAGCUGGUUUCUCCUCCUGCUGGUGUUUGCUAUAAUGCAAAUUGGUAAGUACAUAAGAACAGCUGUACUGGGUCAGACCAAAGAUCCAUCUAGCCCAGUAUCUGGUCUUCUGACAGUGGCUGAUGCCAGGUGUCCCAGAGGGAAUGAACAGAACAGAUAAUCCUCACGUGAUCCAUCCCCUGUCGUCCAUUCCCAGCUUCUGGCAAAAAGAGGACACUUCAGAGCAUGGUUUUGCAUCACUUCCCAUCCAGGCUAAUAGCCAUUGAUGGACCUUAUCUCCUAUGAACUUAUCUAUUUUUUUUUUAAACCUUGUUAUGAUCUUGACCUUCACAACACCCUCUGGCAAGAGUUCCACAGGUUGACGGUGUUUUGUGUGAAGAAAUACUUCCUUUGGUUCAUUUUAAACCUGAUGCCUAUUAAUUUCAUUUAGUGACCCCUAGUUCUUGUGCUAUGAGAUGGAGUAAAUAACACUUCUUUAUUUCCUUUCUCUACACCACUCAUGAUUUUACAGACCUCUACCAUAUCCCCCUUAGUCGUCUCUUUUCCAAGCAGAAAAGUCCCAGUCUUAUUAAUCUCUCCUCAUACGGAAGUUGUUCCAUACCCCUAAUUGAUCUGUUCCUGCCCACUCUAUUGCAAAGGAAUGACCACUUGCCAUAGGAUUGCCAAAGGACCCUGAUGAAUCUUGGCUGGAGGCGUUGGCUCAUCAUUUGUCUGGGAGAAACCCGUUUCCCCCCUUCCCAUGUAAGUCUGGGGAACACAUUUUACUCCCACAUUGGUAUGGUCCAUUGAGCGUUUACCAUACAUACACCACGCAGGAAUAUGAAUGAUCAGUGUGAUGUUAGUUUUCCAAAGAUACCUUACAUGACACAAAUCCAAUACAGUGCAUGACAUUAAUGAUAGCCCAGUGGUAAGUUUAAAGUUGCUCUCACAACUGCAGGGCAAGGGAGCUCAAGAAUUCUGAGAAGGGGAGAUUCUCAGCUUCCUAUUGAAAUACACAGCACCUGCCUCUAACCCUGGAAGUUCCCAGAUCUCAGACAAAUGUGCAGAAAAGCUAUUUGAGGUCAUUUUGAAGGUUUUACAGCUCCCAAGGAGCCCUGUGCACUUGGAUUCAUGUCAGUAUUACUGAGGGAGAUUGUUACAUCAAAUUUCAAUAGCUCUUUCUUCAAACCAGAGCAGUUUGCUCCAGCUAUUACAGACAGGCAUUGCUGAGCAAUAAAAAAGAAUGCAGCUUUUCCCUUGUAGUGUCCAGGGAGUUUUCUGUGUGGUGAACAAGCUCUCCCUCUGUCCCCAUCCUGCACAGAGUUUGCAGACCCCUGAUCCAUGGUCCAAACUCACCCCUCUUCCUGGUGUUUGCCUUUAUGGUAACUUAACAACUCUCGGCCUGAGUGUAGCUGUUUCUCGGGUUUCCAUCCAUCCCUAGUCCCCACUCCCUAGAGAGCCCCUUAUACUGCAGGUGGAGUUAACAAGCUGCAGCUGUCCCCAGGAGUCAGGAGAACAUCAGUAGGUCUACGUGGGGCUCCAACUGCUGCUCAGAGAGUGGGUCAACAGCAGUGGUGCAAGUAGCAAUCGUUUCUUGCCGGUACUGCUCUCAUGGGGGGACACAAGGGGGAGCACGUGACCCCAGCCCAAGGCCCCCACACUCUCCCUGUCCCCUUCAACACCCCCCCUUACCUGUCUAAAAUUUUACAACUGUAUCCGUUAAACAGAUGCAGUUGUAAAAUGAUGCUUUGGGCCCCUGGUGCCACCUGUACUUCCAGGAGUCAUUGAAGACUCCUUCCAGCACCCCAAAUUGAAAACUUCUUAAAUGAAAGAAGGAUAGGAAGGACAAUCACCCCACUUUCCCUUAACACACUAUCAAUACCUCCCUUACGUCCAAACUAAGAUUCUGCCAGCUUGCCUUUAUCUAAAUAUCGCUCUCCGCCAGGAAAGCAAAGAUGCUGCACCAUCUGGGUUUGGUGGAAAAGAGGCAUAGAACGGUGUGUGACAUGUACAUCUUGAUAGAACUACAGCCCAAAUUGUUUUAUUAUUUUCCUCAGCAUGACAUACAGGAGGGGCAAUCAAAAUCAGCCAGGUAGAACAUGCAUGAGAACUGUCUCUGGACAGAUAAGCAAUUGAUCAAAAUCACAUUCUCUGAUCUCUUGGAGCCAAAUCCUGUUCCCAUUGAGAUCAAAAGGAGUUUUGUUUUUGAGUUCAAUGGGAACAGGCUUUGACACUUGGCGAGGAAAUAACAAAACCACUUAAGCAAGGGCUAUGUUGCUUAUACCACAGGUAUCAAAGGCUGCUGACUCAUGUGAGACAGUCAGCAGACAUCUGAUCUUUGUUCACUGCAAGGGAGAAAUCAGCAAUCACUGAGGCUAGAACAGUCUCUGUACCAUAUCCGACUCAUAAAUCCAUCUGCAAAGGACCAAGGAAAUAUGAAGGCUCCAGAUUACCUUAAAGCCCUCAGUCCCUUAGUUAGGAUGCUCCCAUUAGUAGAUGUUCAUAGUCCAGAGGCCAGAGCAGGAAAGAGGCCAAACGGAGAUGUUUCCAGACCAGGGCCUUUUAGCUUCUGCCAAGUAAAGGGAAAUCUGGUCUCAUUGUGAAAGAUGGUGUUUGGAGUCACAUGAGCAAGUUACAUGUCCAUCACCCCCACCCAUAGUCUUGUUAGAACGUUCACAAAAAGUCCAUUAGGUGUAGACAGGCAUUUUCCACGGUCCCUUGUGAGCUAAGUGUUCCUUAAUGGGCCACUCAACUUGACUUGUCCUUUCAUGUGCUGGCUAAAUACCUUGUGAUACAUGCAUAGAAAAAGCAUAAUCAUAAGUACCAGCUAUUUCCUGUACAUGACAAUUCCCAAAAGAUUCUGGGGGGGAAAAGAUCACACCACAUGAAAAAUCUGAGACCCUGUGUGCCAGCACCGUGCCCCACUGGAGUUUUGUUAUCGGUUACGUAACAGCAGAGAUGGCAUGAGUGACAGGACUCUGUUUAGCCUAAAUUCCUUCCAGCUGGUGUUCAGAAGCGUGUUACAAGACACAUACAUACCCUCCCCCAUUAUGACCAGCAACAAAAAAAAAAGAAAGAAAAAAGAAAAGAAAUAAUAAAAUCUCAACGAGGCAGAGGUUCACAGAUUUGCAAAUCUAAAAACCUGUGUUAUGCUUCUGUCAUAAAUAUAAAGGGAAGGGUAAACCCCCUUGAAAUCCCUCCUGGCCAGGGGAAAGCUCCUCUCACCUGUAAAGGGUUAAGAAGCUAAAGGUAACCUCGCUGGCACCUGACCAAAAUGACCAAUGAGGAGACAAGAUACUUUCAAAAGCUGGGAGGAGGGAGAGAAACAAAGGGUCUGUCUGUCUGUCUGUAGUCUUCUUUGUCGGGGAUAGACCAGGAAUGGAGUCUUAGAACUUUUAGUAAGUAAUCUAGCUAGGUAUGUGUUAGAUUAUGAUUUCUUUAAAUGGCUGAGAAAAGAAUUGUGCUGAAUAGAAUAACUAUUUCUGUCUGUGUAUCUUUUUUGUAACUUAAGGUUUUGCCUA